rnacentral:rRNA from 1 species
UACGGAGGGGGCUAGCGUUGUUCGGAAUUACUGGGCGUAAAGGGCGCGUAGGCGGGCGGUCAAGUCGAGGGUGAAAGCCCCCAGCUCAACUGGGGAAGUGCCUCCGAUACUGGCCGGCUCGAGGGGGAUAGGGGCGUGCGGAACUUCCGGUGGAGCGGUGAAAUGCGUAGAUAUCGGAAGGAACAUCGGUGGCGAAAGCGGCGCGCUGGAUCCCUUCUGACGCUGAGGCGCGAAAGCUAGGGGAGCAAACGGG